CAGCCGCCGCGGGAAUACAGAGGGUGCAAGCGUUAAUCGGAAUUACUGGGCGUAAAGCGCGCGUAGGUGGUUUGUUAAGUUGGAUGUGAAAGCCCCGGGCUCAACCUGGGAACUGCAUCCAAAACUGGCAAGCUAGAGUACGGUAGAGGGUGGUGGAAUUUCCUGUGUAGCGGUGAAAUGCGUAGAUAUAGGAAGGAACAUCAGUGGCGAAGGCGACCACCUGGACUGAUACUGACACUGAGGUGCGAAAGCGUGGGGAGCAAACAGGAUUAGAUACCCGUGUAGUCCCUGUCUCUUAUAC
rnacentral:rRNA from 1 species